UACGUAGGGCGCAAGCGUUGUCCGGAAUUAUUGGGCGUAAAGAGCUCGUAGGCGGCUUGUCACGUCGGAUGUGAAAGCCCGGGGCUUAACCCCGGGUCUGCAUUCGAUACGGGCAGGCUAGAGUGUGGUAGGGGAGAUCGGAAUUCCUGGUGUAGCGGUGAAAUGCGCAGAUAUCACGAGGAACACCGGUGGCGAAGGCGGGUCUCUGGGAAGUAACUGACGCUGAGAAGCGAAAGCGUGGGUAGCAAACAGG
rnacentral:rRNA from 1 species